CGUCGAUAUGGAAGAGGCCCCUGAACAAGGACACCCUCUUGAUGAGUUAGAUCCCCGAAUAAUUGACUCUGAACCAAAUGCGACCCCAAUGGAAGAAUUGGAGACUUUCCCCGCCAAUCCAGAAGACCCCAGUCAGGUCUUGCGUAUAGAAAAGUCAUUGUCCCCUGAAGCAAAAACAGAGAUGAUAAGCUUCCUGAAAGGGAACUUGGAUGUCUUCGCAUGGAAACAUGAAGAUAUCGUGGGAAUAGAUCCUAGGAUCAGUUGCUAUCACCUUAACAUCAACCCCUCCUAUGCCCCCCAUAGACAGAAGAGGCGUGCCCUCAAUUCGGAAAGGUACGAGGCACUGAAGGACGAAGUGAACAAACUUAGCCGCAGUAGUUUCAUAAGAGAGGCCAUCUACCCUAGGUCGAUAUCCAACCCGGUCUUGGUGAAAAAGCUCAGCGGAAAGUGGAGGGUAUGCGUAGACUUCACGAACUUAAAUAAGGCGUGCCCCAAAGACAACUUCCCACUUCCAAGAAUAGAUCAACUUGUGGAUUCUACUGCUGGACAUGAGCUAUUGAGCUUCAUGGAUGCAUACUCAGGGUAUAACCAGAUACCCAUGUUCUGACUUGAUGAGGAAGCUACGUCGUUCAUUACGGACAGGGGGCUGUAUUGCUACAAAGUCAUGCCCUUCGAAUUGAAGAAUGCCGGAGCUACAUAUCAGAGGUUGGUCAACAUGAUAUUUGCCGAACUUAUUGGCAAACUAUGGAGGUUUACAUUGACGACAUGCUGGUCAAAAGCCUCCAGGCAGCCGAACACGUAAGUCACCUCGACCAAACUUUUCAGAUACUUAGGAAGUAUAAUAUGAAAUUGAAUCCCCUCAAGUACACCUUUGGAGUAGCAUCGGGUCAGUUCUUAGGGUCUAUUGUCAAUAAAAGAGGAAUUGAGGCAAACCCAGUGAAAGUAAUGGCCUUGUUAGAGAUGAUGUCACCUUAGAAACCAAAGGAAGUCCAAAGUCUCAAUGGUCGGAUAGCCGCACUCAGUCGCUUCAUCUCUAGAGCCACAGAUAAAAGCUUGCCUUUCUUCAAUAUGCUGAAACAAGGAAAGAAAUUCCAAUUGACUUCGGAGUGUGAAGAAGACUUCGAGGCUCUGAAAAAGCAUCUUGGAGAGACGCCCCUCUUGUUGAAACCUCAACC
rnacentral:lncRNA from 1 species